rnacentral:rRNA from 1 species
CUGGCGGCGCGUCUUAAGCAUGCAAGUCGAACGGUAAGUAGAGAGCUUGCUUUCUACCUAGAGUGGCGGACUGGUGAGUAACGCGUGGGUGACCUGCCUUGGAGAUGGGGAUAGCAACUAGAAAUAGUUGAUAAUACCGAAUACGCUUAUAAACAUAAAGGUUUAUAAGGAAAGGGAGCUACGGCUCCGCUCUAAGAUGGGCCCGCGUACCAUUAGCUUGUUGGUGAGGUAAAGGCUUACCAAGGCUACGAUGGUUAUCCGGCUUGAGAGGGUGAACGGACACAUUGGGACUGAGAUACGGCCCAAACUCCUACGGGAGGCAGCAGCUAAGAAUCUUCCGCAAUGGAUGCUCACUUGAUGACGGUAAUCAUGCGAAUAAGGGGCGGCUAAUUACGUGCCAGCAGCCGCGGUAACACGUAAGUCCCUAGCGUUGUUCGGAAUUAUUGGGCGUAAAGGGUAUGUAGGCGGUUUGGUAAGCCUGAUGUGAAAUCUACGAGCUUAACUCGUAAACUGCAUUGGGUACUGCGAAGGUGUGGGGAGCGAACAGGAUUAGAUACCCUGGUAGUCCACACAGUAAACGAUGUACACUAGGCGUCGGGGCAAGAGCUUCGGUGCCAAAGCAAACGCAUUAAGUGUACCGCCUGGGAAGUAUGCCCGCAAGGGUGAAACUCAAAGGAAUUGACGGGGGCCCACACAAGCGGUGGAGCAUGUGGUUUUGCUGCAUGGCUGUCGUCAGCUCGUGCCGUGAGGUGUUGGGUUAAGUCCCGCAACGAGCGCAACCCCUACCGCCAGUUACUAACAGGUAAAGCUGAGGACUCUGUCGGAACUGCCGAUGACAAAUCGGAGGAAGGUGGGGAUGACGUCAAGUCAGCAUGGCCCUUACGCCCAGGGCUACACACGUGCUACAAUGGUUGCCACAAAUCGACGCUAGACCGCGAGGUUAUGCAAAUCGCAAAAAAGCAAUCGUAGUCCGGAUUGAAGUCUGAAACUCGACUUCAUGAAGUUGGAAUCGCUAGUAAUCGCACAUCAGCACGGUGCGGUGAAUACGUUCCUGGGCCUUGUACACACCGCCCGUCACACCAUCCGAGUCGGGGGUACCCGAAGUCGCUAGUCUAACCUUUUAGGAGGACGGUGCAGUCGCUAGUCUAACCUUUAAGGAGGACGGUGCCGAAGGUAUGUUU